rnacentral:lncRNA from 1 species
AUUGGAUUUUGAAGUCAGCACAUGCAAUCUAAGGAUAGUAAGUGAUCCGAUUUACUAGUUGUUGUGUCUUGAACUAUAUCUUGAACAAUUUGAUAAAGUUUUGGCUCAAAAUUUUAGAAAAUGUGUAAAUUUAUGUUAAUAAACUUUUUACAUAAUUUUGAUGACAUUUGAGUAUUGAAUUCUUGAGAUAUUAAGAAAAUAGUGCUAGAGUGCUUUUGAAAUAAGGUUUAGAGCAUCUGCUAGGAUUUCUUAGAUGCCAUAAGAUAAAAAGUGAAUUUGCAAUUGGUUUUUU